rnacentral:lncRNA from 1 species
GGAGUGGGGCAUGAAAGCCAAGUUUAUCCUUCCAAGCCAUUAAUCAGAUUAUGUGGCUUCUUCUCCCCCAGGGCCAGAUGUGGUUUGGGUGCAGAGGUGGGAGAAAGCUCCAUGAAGCAGGCGUGAGAUCUCAUGCACAGCUGGCACAAACAAACAUCUCUAGAUGAAGAGCUGUCACUGAAGACCAAACAUGGAGCAGAUGUAUUCUUAACUUCUACAUGGUCCCUGGCUUUAAUGAACAAAGGAAUGAACAAAAGAUCUGAAGUACAACUUCAGUGAACACAAAGUUCAGAAGGCUGUGAAAGGAAGCCAUGGUUCAGACAUUGGCAGGAAAGCCAAUAAGGUUCUAACCUGUGGAGAGACCCCAGAGGUUCCUCCUCUCCUUCAGGAUAACCAGAAGAGAAAGAAGUUGUCUUGAUGUGGGGAAGAAGCAAAGAAAUGAAAACUGGGGCUGGGCAUUUUUCCCUACCCCUCAAUUUGAACAGUGCCUUUUAUUUCAUUUCUGCUUCUUCCCUACUGAUUUGGCCAUCAGGAAGGACAACAGAGCUGACCUUGGAGGACAUGGGCCAGGAGAUCUAAGAUGAGAUUCCCAGGACUGCUACCUAGGUCCAACUUAGACUCUGAGAACCAAGGAAAAUGAACCUCACCCAAGUUCCUAGGUGGCAACUGAGGACCAGCCCACUGGGAGGCCAGCUGGGGUCCCAAGCCUGGUUAUUCAAAGUAUGGGCUCUAGAACAACAGCCCUGGCAUCAUCUGGAGUGUUUAGGAUGUAGAAGCUCAACUCCCAGUCCCCACUUAACACAUUAGACCUCUGGGUGCUUUUGGCGAGCAUAAAAUCUUGAGAAGUACAUCUCAGAGAACCCGAGGCAAGGUCAAGGAUCAGUCAGGGUUGGUUGAGGGACUGAACCUCAGUAGGGUUGGGAGUGAGAGCAGGUCAGAAGGGAGAGAAAUACUUGAAGCUGUCUCCACGAGCUGUGGGUAUAUGGUUAUGUGGUAUGCAGGUAUAUCUAGACUCUAAAAGGGGUUUGAAUUCUCCAGUCAGCCUUCUCUGAGACUGUAAAAGACAGGGGCCCAUCUUCCUCCUUCAUCUGUUCCAGACCUACCCAGACAUCUCAGAGCUCCAAGAUAUGUACUCAUUCUUUGUUGAACUGAAUGGGGUCCCCCAGAAAUCCCACUAGUCAUAUAUCCUGAGUUUAUGAUCAUAGAGAGUCACCUUUGAUUCUGCAUCUCCCCCAGGAAUCUCUUGGUGUAAUAAGUAUGCUUGGGUGUUUUCUGUAGCACAAAUCAAAGCAAAACAAAAUACCCUGCUGGGUCACAGCAGAUCCAGCACCACAUCCCCCGAGAGUUCAGGCGGUGUCCAAAGAACUCAUCAUGAGAGCUGACCUGCUAAUGUGUGAUUUCUGCAAAAGGGCCAACGAACCUGCUGGCUCCCAUGACGGCUGUCUGGAAAGUCAGUGCCCAGGCGCCAAAUCCAGAGGUGCGCUUUGUACUUGGAGAGACAGAAUGGCCAGCCACCUCGAGGCUUCAGGAGCUGGAUCAGUGCACAGCAGCCUCCAACUGGCAAGAGUUAAUGCUAAGGUGCAGCUGCAGGAAUGUGAAGCUGGAGAGCUAGCUCGGGGAAUUGCUAUUGCAAUCAGAGGACAGCCCAAGUCAGAGUUCCAAAACCCUUUGAAGGGCUGCCAGCUCGGACACAUGUCUCCAAUUAUCAUAUGCAAUCUUGAGGCAGUGUGCAAGCUGCACUUUCAUUAUGUCAAAGUGAAAGGAGUGGUGAGGGAGAGAUAAAGUGGGGAGAGGCCGCCAGGCCGGAGACUGCUUCGCUGUGGCACCAAAUGUCAGCCCGGGUGCAGAGUGAGCCUCCAACGUAUGUCUGUCCGGGAGCCCGAGGUGUGUGGCUCCUACUCUGAGAGCCUUUGUUUUCUUUCUUUCAUUCUGAGGAUGGAGGAGAACCAGCUGACAGCCACAGGAGGCCCUGUCUCUAGGAAACUUGACCAUCUCUUUGGUAUUGGAUCUGACCACAGAUAAGAUUCUGUGGAAACUUCCCAGGGACAUCCACUGUGUCCAGCCACAGGCUUUCAGCCGCCCAGUGUAAAAGGAGCUGUGCUUUGCCAGCAUUUGCAGAGAGGACUGAGAGAGCCAGCCUCAGGACUCAGCUCUGCUGUCAGCAUCCCCGAACUUGUCCCAUUACAGAGGGCUGCUUCCUCUCCACCAUGGGCAGCUGAUGACUUUGGCUCUGUGUGGCCCAGUGCCUGCAACUGUUCUGUUCCUGCCUUUAGUAGGAAGACCAUGAGGUCAACACUGAGGACAGGUUGGAGGAUGUCUUCAGAUGAAAGAAGGUGCCAAAGAGAAGAGGGAAACCAAGGUAGAAAAAUCUUAGGAAGAAACGGAUGAAAAAGCAUGGAAUGGGCUUCUCUAUGAACACAAUGGAAUAUUUGGAGCUGCCUUUUCCUUAUGCUCAAGGGGUUGGGACCCUGGCCGUGCAGUGACCUCUCGGGGAAGCCAAGAUAGACUGCUAGCUGGAACUUCCCCCCACACAGGGGAAGAGUUCAAGCUGUGGAAAGGCCCUGGCCUGAGGUGGGUUUGGACUGCUUACACUCUGACCAGCCAAACUGAUAGCUCCUUGUGCUGUGUGAAAACACUGGCUUCCACAUUGUGACUGCAGUGUUCACCGAGAGCACAGUUUGCCUUUGGGGGAGCAAUGGUGCUGUGGUGGCAGGGAGGCUGUUUCUACCAGUAACUGUAGAACUUCUUUCCUGGAAAUUGGGUGCCCUCAAUGGGUCUCCAUUAGAGAUUCAGGUGACACGUUAGCCCUGUUAGCAGGCCAGGGAGCCAACGGCGUUUUUCAGAUAUCCCAAAGAGUCUGACAGUACUGGGGCAUGGCUCUCUACAAGUGGCUUUACUGGUGUAGCCACUCAGAGGCACAGCUGCUCUGCCUAAAAGCUUCCAGAAUGUCUCCCUCGCCAGCACUGUCUUCACAUCCAGGACUUAGCAGCUCUGUGUGCCCCUAGGAGAAAGACCUUUAGAACCUAUCUCUUCACAAGAGGGGCCUGGGACUUCUGAGGCCAUGGAAUAGGAACCCUGCAAAACCCACAGACACCGGCUAGUGGGAGGACUCCCUUUAUCUGACAAAGCAUCUCAGCACGGAAUGUUCUGGGACAAAAUUGAGGCUUGAGGGAAGCAACCACAACAACAAAAAAAACAAGAUGAAGGGGAUGGUGACUACAUCCUGCUCUGUGGAGGAUUCUGCAGUCUCUCUGUUACCUUUGCUGCUCUUAAGACAGUGGUCAUGAGUACAUUCUGUCUGUUUCCUUUCCUAUUUAGAGGAAAGGAAAGCAGCUGUGCCCACCUGACUUGGCCCCUCUCCCCUCCAUCUUCCUGGGCUUAUUUGUGUUAGUCUUACUAUGUUUGUCUUUAUCUGUUCUAUAGCAACCCUCGUCUCUACAGGUCUUAAUGGUCCCAGCUAGUUCUGGUCACUUGUGGAAAACGUCUCAGGAAGAAUAAAAAGUUUUCAAAAGUUCACUUCUGACUGGUUACUGACUUUCUAGUUGGAAGCAGAUGCUGGGGUACUAGGCCACUGACAGUUGCUGCUAGAGCUGUUUGUGGGUGGCAAGAAGUUUGGAAGCCUUACUGUUUUCUUGGGGUAGGGAUGCCUUUCUACAGGAAGCCACAGGGGAAUAAUGGAGAGGCAGCCAUCAUUGUUAAGGUAAUCUUAACAUGAAAUCAGAUAUGCCAUGACAGGCCUCAGGAGAUGAUUUUGUUACAGCUCCUUCAGACUGCC